GAUGGCGACAUGGAGNGAAACCCUAAAAAGCUGUCUCAGUUCAGAUUGCAGGCUGAAACCCGCCUGCAUGAAGGCGGAAUUGCUAGUAAUCGCGGAUCAGCAUGCCGCGGUGAAUACGUUCCCGGGUCUUGUACACACCGCCCGUCACACCAUGAGAGUCGCGAACACCCAAAGUCCAUAGUCCAACUUUAACGAGAGGGCGUGGCCUAAGGUGGGCGUGAUAAUUGGGGUGAAGUCGUAACAAGGUAAC
rnacentral:rRNA from 1 species